GCGGGUGUGGCGGAAUGGAAGACGCACUAGACUUAGGAUCUAGCGCUUAGGCUUGCAGGUUCAAAUCCUGUCACCCGUACCA
rnacentral:tRNA from 2 species